rnacentral:rRNA from 1 species
AACGAACGCUGGCGGCAGGCCUAACACAUGCAAGUCGAACGCCGUAGCAAUACGGAGUGGCAGACGGGUGAGUAACGCGUGGGAACAUACCCCUCGGUUCGGAAUAACUCAGGGAAACGUUGAGCUAAUACCGGAUACGUCCGAGGUUUAAUCGGCCUUGGAGGAAGAUUUAUCGCCGGAGGAUUGGCCCGCGUCUGAUUAGCUUGUUGGUGAGGUAAUGGCUCACCAAGGCGACGAUCAGAGCUGGUCUGAGAGGAUGAUCAGCCACAUUGGGACGUGAGACACGGCCCAAACUCCUACGGGAGGCAGCAGGUGGGGAAUAUUGGACAAUGGGCGAAAGCCUGAUCCAGCCAUGCCGCGUGAGUGAUGAAGGCCGUUAGGG